UCAAAGAGACUGCAGUGUCCAUAGUCGAUCAACACGUCAUUCCAUCGAUUGCUGGACGUAGCAAAGAAAGUGUAUUCUCCCCCAAGUGCCCCAGUAAUUCAUAAAUGAUUUUUCAGUAAAAGAACGAUUAAAAUUUCCUUAACUAAAACACGAAACCGCUAAAUCUGAAAGUUGAUUUAUUCGUUUAAUUAAUAUCAUAUUAAAGCUACCGAAAGAGGAGGGGAGGAGCAUCAACCACAAGAAUGUAUACAUCUACUGCAUCCUGCCGCUCUAAGCAUACAUAACACAAAUUCGGCGCCUCACAUAAUAUCUAGGAAGAAAUCUAAAGAGCGUACAUGAUGGAUUCCGGAAGGAGAUAGGUAAAAACUGGUUCACGAAUAGGGUAGUGAAUGGGUGGAACGAAUCAAAAAGAUAUUUAGGUGACGUAAAUGCGAUUGAAAGUUCUGAAUGGAGGUUAAGCAGAUUUACACGUGAAGGGAGAUUGGUGAACAGUUCGUCCUCAGAGGCUACGAGUAGACGGUCUUGCCUAUUGUAAACUAUUAUUGCCUAUCUCCUUUUAGCUUGAUGUGUAGCUGAUGGAGAAAAAAACGCUGACUAAAACAUGAAUGUAUGAAGUGAGCAUUAGGAUCAGGGAGCAGACAAAUGUUAAUAAUUCAAGACUAAGAAAUGAAGAUGCACAGGACAGAGCAUGCGUAGAACUAACAACAGAUCGACAACCAAAGUAACAGAAUGGGAGCCCAGCAGAGUGUAGGAGUCAGGGCAAAGAACCAGGCGGAGAGCUGAAAUUAGGGUAAGCUUAUUUGGUGGCGUUAGGACGUUAUAUUAACAUUAUUUGCUUGGGUUAUAUUACUUUUUACCUGGUGGGGUUAUGCUACUUCAUUCAGUGAGGUUAGUGACCCUAUUUGGGCUUAAGUUACAGCGGAAAGGCCUAAUGCAAUAAUUAUCUUUUUCAUCAUUGUUCUACUAAAAGUCGCGGCAAUGUGUAAUUCUUGUAAUCACUAAUCAGUAUAUGUGAGGUAGAUAACAGGCAAGUUUUUCCUAGUUUACUCCAAUGCGUAAUAUGGGUUAAAGAGUGUGUGACUUGUGCAUGGGCAUAUCCUGUUGAAAGAGUGCCGGCCUGCCGGAUACGGGCGCUGCCGUUGAAACUUCCGAAAGCUUAUAGGAAGCAAACGGAACUGCGCAGUAACACGUCACGUGAUAUAUCAUGAGAGAAGAUAAACGGGAAAUUCCUGAGUGACGUCUCCAAGCUGAGGCUAUAUAAGUCCCUAUGACGCUUAUCAGGAUCACACUGCAACGCAAGGAGCCCAAAACACCUGACCUAGCUGGCGCCGAGGCUUGGUGAAAAUAUUAAGCAGCAGCACACAGUACCUCAUCAAGAUGGGUGACGACGGCGGUGGCGGAGGAGGCGAUAGCGGCGGUGGUGGUGGUGGUGGAGGAGGUCAUAGCGGCGGUGGUGGUGAUGGAGGAGGUCAUAGCGGAUGGGGCGGUGGUGGUGGAGGUCAUAGCGGAUGGGGCGGUGGUGGUGGAGGUCAUAGCGGAUGGGGCGGUGGUGGUGGAGGUCAUAGCGGAUGGGGCGGUGGUGGAGGAGGUCAUAGCGAAUGGGGCGGUGGUGGAGGAGGUCAUAGCGGAGGUGGUAGUGGUGGUGGUGGUGGUCAUAGCGGCGGGGGCUCUAGUGGUGGUGGAGGUCAUAGUGGUGGUGGUAGUGGUGGUGGUCAUAGCGGUGGGGGCUCUAGUGGUGGUGGAGGUCAUAGCGGCGGUGGUGGUGGUGGUGGAGGUGAUGGCGGCGGGGGCGGUGGUGAUGGUGGAGGAGGUGAUGGCGGCGGGGGCGGUGGUGAUUGUGGAGGAGGUGAUGGCAGCGGGGGCGGUAGUGAUGGUGGAGGGGACUCUAGUGGUGGAGGGGACUGGGAUAACGAUGGACAAUAUAGCAGCGGAGGAUACGGAGGUCGGAGGAAAAAGAAGCAUCAACAGCACCAAGCAAGCCGCUCCAAAUACCUUCGGCGCCCAAAGAAAAGUCCCUGCUGUGUAGUAUGCUGAGUAAUGAGUGCUAACUGAAUCGGCCGGGUACCUUGGUGCUGUGAUGGCUUUGAGAGCCGCCUGCAAGUAAAGCCUCGUUCACACUGUGCCGACUCUGGGCCACGACAACCCAGCGACUUUUCCAUUUGACAAGUUGGUUCCCACGCUCCAAGAAGGGGGGAAAGGUUUUAUGGAGGUCUUGGUGUCUUGCCGACUGUCUGGGACAUUCGACCAACUAGUUGCCAGCAUGUCGUGGUAACCCUCACGACUCCAGACUCCCGUCACGACGUCGGCGCAGCAUUCGGCAACAGUCUCUUUGAAGACAUACCCGACCCUUUCACAUCAACACCCAAGACCUCGUGGGUCGUGGAUAGUCGUGGCCCAGAGUCGGCACAGUGUGAAUGGCGCUUAAGAGGGACUCGUGCCGGUAACCUCUAGCUAUAGCACUGGUGGCACUGCAGUCUAUACCUUAUACCAGUCAGCUACUCCCCCAGGGCCAAGAGCAGACCAAAUUCAUCUCCAGUAAACCCUCAGUACUCCUUCAGAGGGGCAAGUGGAAACAAAGCUAAGAAAAUUCCACGACCCAUGGCACCAAUUAAGUCGUCUCCGAUGGAGGGGAGGGGAGGGAGGAGUAAGGAUUGUUUUUCAAUGAUGUUGCAAGAGGAACUUCGAAGCUCAUAUCUAUUGAGUUCAUUGGUUUGUGUAGAGACAAUACUAUAUAAUUUUAUGAUGUGGGUAAUCUCUGACACUUUUGUUCCUCAUAAAGAAAACAUUAUAUAUAGUUGCAGGCCUCGACAGUCGGUUUCUGCCAUGACCCUGGUGAAAGCAAACUUUUCCCACAUGUCAGGGGUGAACAGUGCCUUGUCUAAACCAGGGAACAAAGAUGCUUACUAUUUUCAUUGGACAGAAGAUCGUGACACUAUUCUGAGUGUUUACUGAAAGUUGGUGACAUUGCACGGUUACUGAGAUGGCUGACCUAUGUAUGGUUGUGAAUAUUGUGAGUAAAUUGUAUAAAUGCA